CACACGACCGUACCGCAAACCGACACUGGUGCGCGAGAUGAGUAUUCUAAGGCGCUUGAGAGAACUCAGGAGAAGGAACUCGGCAAAUUGACACCGUAACUUCGGAAGAAGGUGUGCCUUUAGUAGGUGAAGGGAUUUACUCCUGGAGCCCAAUGAGGUUGCAAAAAAUCGGUGGCUGCGACUGUUUAUUAAAAACACAGCACUCUGCAAACACGAAAGUGGACGUAUAGGGUGUGACGCCUGCCCGGUGCUGGAAGAUUAAAUGAUGGGGUGCAAGCUCUUGAUUGAAGUCCCAGUAAACGGCGGCCGUAACUAUAACGGUCCUAAGGUAGCGAAAUUCCUUGUCGGGUAAGUUCCGACCUGCACGAAUGGCGUAACGAUGGCCACACUGUCUCCUCCUGAGACUCAGCGAAGUUGAAAUGUUUGUGAUGAUGCAAUCUCCCCGCGGAAAGACGGAAAGACCCCAUGAACCUUUACUGUAGCUUUGUAUUGGACUUUGAACAGAUCUGUGUAGGAUAGGUGGGAGGCUUUGAAGCAGGGUCGCUAGAUCUUGUGGAGCCAACGUUGAAAUACCACCCUGGUGUGUUUGAGGUUCUAACCUAGGCCCGUAAUCCGGGUUGGGGACAGUGCAUGGUAGGCAGUUUGACUGGGGCGGUCUCCUCCCAAAGUGUAACGGAGGAGUUCGAAGGUACGCUAGUUACGGUCGGACAUCGUGACGAUAGUGCAAUGGCAUAAGCGUGCUUAACUGCGAGACUGACAAGUCGAGCAGAUGCGAAAGCAGGACAUAGUGAUCCGGUGGUUCUGUAUGGAAGGGCCAUCGCUCAACGGAUAAAAGGUACUCUGGGGAUAACAGGCUGAUACCGCCCAAGAGUUCAUAUCGACGGCGGUGUUUGGCACCUCGAUGUCGGCUCAUCUCAUCCUGGGGCUGUAGCCGGUCCCAAGGGUAUGGCUGUUCGCCAUUUAAAGAGGUACGUGAGCUGGGUUUAAAACGUCGUGAGACAGUUUGGUCCCUAUCUUCCGUGGGCGCUGCAGAUUUGAGGAAGCCUGCUCCUAGUACGAGAGGACCGGAGUGGACGCACCUCUGGUGUAUCGGUUGUCACGCCAGUGGCAUUGCCGAGUAGCUAUGUGCGGAAGAGAUAACCGCUGAAAGCAUCUAAGCGGGAAACUCGUUUCAAGAUGAGAUCUGCCGGGGCCUUGAGCCCCCUGAAGAGUCGUUCAAGACCAGGACGUUGAUAGGUCGGGUGUGGAAGCGCAGUAAUGCGUUAAGCUAACCGAUACUAAUUGCUCGUGCGGCUUGACCCC
rnacentral:rRNA from 1 species